rnacentral:rRNA from 1 species
UCCCGGCGGUCCAAGUCGCAUCCACAAUUAUUGGGUCUAAAACAUCCGUAGCUUGCUUUGUAAGUCUCUUGUGAAAUCUCAAAUCUCAAGUUUGAGGCGUGCAAGAGAUACUACAUCGCUUGGAGAUCGGAAGACGUAAAGAGUACGAAGGAGGUAGUGGUAAAAUAUGUUAAUCUUCUUCGGACUAACAGUGGCGAAGGCGCUUUACGAGUACGAAUCUGACAGUGAGGGAUGAAGGCUAGGGG